UACGGAGGGUGCAAGCGUUAUCCGGAUUCACUGGGUUUAAAGGGUGCGUAGGUGGGCAGGUAAGUCAGUGGUGAAAUCUCUGGGCUUAACCCGGAAACUGCCAUUGAUACUAUUUGUCUUGAAUAUCGUGGAGGUCAGCGGAAUAUGUCAUGUAGCGGUGAAAUGCUUAGAUAUGACAUAGAACACCAAUUGCGAAGGCAGCUGGCUACACGAAUAUUGACACUGAUGCACGAAAGCGUGGGGAGCGAACAGG
rnacentral:rRNA from 1 species